rnacentral:rRNA from 1 species
UACGUAGGUGGCAAGCGUUACUCGGAAUCACUAGGCGUAAAGCGCAUGUAGGCGGUUGGAUAAGUUUCUUGUGAAAGCUCCUGGCUUAACUGGGAGAGGUCAAGGAAUACUGUCUGACUUGAGUGUGGUAGGGGUAACUGGAAUUCCCGGUGUAGCGGUGAAAUGCGUAGAUAUCGGGAGGAAUACCUAUGGCGAAGGCAGGUUACUGGGCCAUCACUGACGCUGAGAUGCGAAAGCUAGGGGAGCAAACAGG